rnacentral:rRNA from 1 species
GAUACCGUCGUAGUCUUAACUAUAAAUGAUACUGACCAGGGAUAGGAUACUGUCCAUCUCGACUCUUCCCGGACCUUGGAGAAAUCAGAGUCUUUGAGUUCUGGGGGGAGUAUGGUCGCAAGGCUGAAACUUAAAGGAAUUGACGGAAGGGCACACAAAGAGUGGAACCUGCGGCUUAAUUUGACUCAACACGGGAAAACUCACCAGGUCCGGAUACACGUAUGAAAGACAAGCUGAAAGACUUUUCUCAAUGAUGUAAGUGGUGGUGCAUGGUCGUUCUUAGUUCGUGGAGUGAUUUGUCUGGUCUAUUCCGAUAACGAGCGAGACCCCGACGUUCCUAAUAGGGGUAGCAGCCCGGCUCGACCGCAAGGUCUUGUUAGCCGCUACCUCAUACAAGCUUCUUAGACGUAUCAGAGCCGAUAAGGUUCUUGAAAUGGGUUAAUAACAGGUCAGUCAUGCCCUUAGAUGUUCUGGGCCGCACGCGCGUUACAAUGGCAUGUAAAGAAAGUGCUCACAAGGGCGUAUCCGCGGCUCUACGGGUCGCGGUAACCCCUAGUCCCUGCCUUGACUGGGACAGACUAUUGUAAUUAUUGGUCUCAAACGAGGAAUUUUUAGUAGUCGCAGGUCAUUAGCCUGCGACGAAUGCGUCCCUGCCCUGAUGCGAAGCGAGGUGUGCCUAGCAGAUGAUCGAGACCCCGGUCGCUCCGGACUCGGUUGGAAGCGAAGCCAAGACGAUGCCAUGCAGUCCGCCUAGUCGUGUACCGGUAGCUCCGGUGUCGGCUAGGGUCCGAAGCAAGGCUAGUGCCUCGAGUUGCUAGGCGCCAACAGGGGGAGGGUCAAACCUCACUCCUAGUCCCGGUACGUGUGUGUGAUGAGGGUCGCUCCUACCGAUUGGG